CAAACUCCGUGAUAGCUGGUUCUCCCCGAAAUGCAUUUAGGUGCAGCGUUGCGUGUUUCUUGCCGGAGGUAGAGCACUGGAUGGUCUAGGGGGCCCACAAGCUUACCGAAAUCAGCCAAACUCCGAAUGCCGGUAAGUGAGAGCGUGGCAGUGAGACUGUGGGGGAUAAGCUUCAUAGUCGAGAGGGAAACAGCCCAGAUCAUCAGCUAAGGCCCCUAAGAGGUGACUAAGUGGAAAAGGAUGUGGAGUUGCGUUGACAACCAGGAGGUUGGCUUGGAAGCAGCCAUCCUUGAAAGAGUGCGUAAUAGCUCACUGGUCAAGUGAUUCUGCGCCGACAAUUCAGCGGGGCUCAAGUUGCCCGCCGAAGCUGUGGCAUUCACGCGUGUGGCCGGAAGGUUGCGUGGAUGGGUAGGGGAGCGUCGUGUGCGUGUUGAAGCGGUGGGGUGACCUGGUCGUGGAGUGCAUACGAGUGAGAAUGCAGGCAUGAGUAGCGAAUGACGGGUGAGAAACCCGUCCGCCGAAUAUCCAAGGGUUCCAGGGUCAAGUUAAUCUGCCCUGGGUUAGUCGGGACCUAAGGCGAGGCCGACAGGCGUAGUCGAUGGACAACGGGUUGAUAUUCCCGUACCGGCGAAACAACGCCCGUGCUGGGGCACGCGAUGCUAAGCAUGCGAGACUGUCUGUUGCCUUUCGGGGUGGCGGGUGGUUGAGUCUGUGACCCGAGUGUGUAGUAGGCAAGCCGCGGAGGGACGCAGGAAGGUAGCUCAUCCUCAGCGUUGGUUGUCUGAGGCUAAGUGUGUAGGGUGGGGUGUAGGUAAAUCCGCAUUCCGUGAUGCCUGAGACAUGAUGGGCCUGCACCAUUUGGGUGUGGGUUGAGUGAUCCUAUGCUGCCUAGAAAAGCUUCGUUGGCGAGUUGUUAGCCGCCCGUACCCUAAACCGACACAGGUGGAUAGGUAGAGAAUACCGAGGCGAUCGGGAUAAUCGUGGUGAAGGAACUCGGCAAAAUACCCCCGUAACUUAGGGAUAAGGGGGACCUGAUACGUGUUAAACUUUUGCGUUGAGAGCGUUGAGGGUCGCAGAGACCAGGCCCAAGCGACUGUUUACUAAAAACACAGGUCCGUGCCAACUCGUAAGAGGAUGUAUACGGACUGACUCCUGCCCGGUGCUGGAAGGUUAAGGGGAACCGUCAGCCGCAUUUUGUGUGGUGAAGCGGUGAACUUAAGCCCCAGUAAACGGCGGUGGUAACUAUAACCAUCCUAAGGUAGCGAAAUUCCUUGUCGGGUAAGUUCCGACCUGCACGAAUGGAGUAACGAUUUGGGCGCUGUCUCCACCACGAACCCGGUGAAAUUGCAUUACGAGUAAAGAUGCUCGUUACGCGCAGCAGGACGGAAAGACCCCGGGACCUUUACUAUAGUUUGGUAUUGGUGAUCGGUGUGACUUGUGUAGGAUAGGUGGGAGACUGUGAAACCGGGACGCUAGUUCCGGUGGAGUCAUCGUUGAAAUACCACUCUGGUCACUCUGGUUAUCUAACCUAGGACCGUUAUCCGGUUCAGGGACAGUGCCUGAUGGGUAGUUUGACUGGGGCGGUCGCCUCCUAAAAGGUAACGGAGGCGCCCAAAGGUUCCCUCAGCCUGGUUGGCAAUCAGGUUACGAGUGUAAGUGCACAAGGGAGCUUGACUGCGAGACUGACGGGUCGAGCAGGGACGAAAGUCGGGACUAGUGAUCUUCUGGUAGCGAAUGGAAGCGCCAGGACUCAACGGAUAAAAGGUACCCCGGGGAUAACAGGCUGAUCUUGCCCGAGCGUCCAUAGCGACGGCAUGGUUUGGCACCUCGAUGUCGGCUCGUCGCAUCCUGGGGCUGGAGUCGGUCCCAAGGGUUGGGCUGUUCGCCCAUUAAAGCGGCACGCGAGCUGGGUUUAGAACGUCGUGAGACAGUUCGGUCCCUAUCCGCUGCGCGCGUAGGAGUCUUGAGAAGGGCUGUCCUUAGUACGAGAGGACCGGGACGGACCAACCUCUGGUGUGCCAGUUGUUCCGCCAGGAGCACGGCUGGUUGGCUACGUUGGGAAGUGAUAACCGCUGAAAGCAUCUAAGCGGGAAGCACGCUUCAAGAUGAGGACUCCCACACCAACAAGGUGGUAAGGCCCCCCGCAGACCACGGGGUUGAUAGGUCGGACGUGGAAGCACAGUAAUGCGUGAAGCUGACCGAUACUAAUAGGCCGAGGGCUUGCCACA
rnacentral:rRNA from 1 species